rnacentral:rRNA from 1 species
UAUUGGUCAAUGGGCUAAGGCCUGAACCAGCCAAGUCGCGUGAGGGAAGACGGUCCUAUGGAUUGUAAACCUCUUUUGUCGGGGAACAAAGGCGCCCACGGGUGGGCGGAUGAGUGUACCCGAAGAAAAAGCAUCGGCUAACUCCGUGCCAGCAGCCGCGGUAAUACGGAGGAUGCGGGCGUUAUCCGGAUUUAUUGGGUUUAAAGGGUGCGUAGGCGGACGGUCAAGUCAGCGGUAAAAAUGCGGUGCUCAACGCCGUACAGCCGUUGAAACUGGCAGUCUUGUGGGCGAGAAGUAUGCGGAAUGCGUGGUGUAGCGGUGAAAUGCAUAGAUAUCACGCAGAACUCCGAUUGCGGAGGCAGCAUACCGGCGCCCUACUGACGCUGAGGCACGAAAGCGUGGGUAUCGAACAGG